CACUCAUCAACAGUUAAGGCUUUGGUGGUGCGACCUGUAAAUAUGGUCAGCUUGUUUACCCUGCGUUGAGCGAAUACUUUAAGAGGUCUGUAAAAGUACGAGUAAUGAAAAUGAAACUAUAAGACAGC
rnacentral:ncRNA from 1 species